rnacentral:rRNA from 1 species
UACGUAGGGCGCAAGCGUUGUCCGGAAUUAUUGGGCGUAAAGAGCUCGUAGGCGGUUUGUCGCGUCUGCUGUGAAAGCCCGGGGCUCAACCCCGGACUUGCAGUGGGUACGGGCAGACUGGAGUGUGGUAGGGGAGACUGGAAUUUACGGUGUAGCAGUGAAAUGCGUAGAUAUCGUAAGGAAGACCAGUGGCGAAGGCGAGUCUCUGGACAGUUACUGACGCUGAGGCACGAAGGCUAGGGGAGCAAACGGG